UAAAGUUUUUCAUCAUGUUUCUUAUCCUGAAUGUUUGUAGUUGAAUCUGAAUUGUUUUUGUCUUAUCUCUUGGUAUCAGAUUACGGAUCAAGAUGAAGGAGCUCUCAAGCAUCUUAUAGACAUUAAAUGGUCCAGGAUACAGAAAGGGUUCAAACUUGAAUUCUAUUUUCACACUAACCCUUUCUUUGAAAACCUUGUCUUGACCAAGACGUAUCAUAUGAAUGAUGAAGAUGAAUUCUUUCUAGAAUCUGCAAUAGGGACAGAGAUUGAAUGGCAUCCAAAAAAAUGCUUGACACAGAAGCUCGAUAAGAUAUCUGGGAAGGGAUCAAAGAAAGCUAAGCCAAUGACUAAUAAAAGCUUCUUUGGCUUUUUCAGUCCACUUGAAAUCCCAAAGAACCUGAAAGAUAUGAAAGAUACUGUUGAGGUCGUAAAUCUGAAAGACGAGAUGGAAAGGGAUUGUUUCUUUGGGUGAGCUCAUAACUUAGGUUUUACCCACAGGCAAAUGCUUGAACUUUGUUAUUAGCUACUGUAUGAUUGAGGUCUCAAUAUAGACAAAUUCUCUGAACUUUGCUAUUGCUCGACGUUUUUAUUCUUGUGUAAGAUUGAUCCAGUACUAUUCUCCCUUACUCUGAAAUUUGUAUUACUAUAUUGGACAUUGCAUUAUUCAGUUUGAUAUGUUUCCAUGAUUAUUAUUUACAAUUGAGAGACACUGCUUGGAUGUCUGCACUCCAAAUUAGUAUGUUAUGUUUUUUGUUAAUAGCUAGCAACUACCUUUACAGCUUUGUUUUAUUUAUUGAUCCAUAUUAUAGUUCUUGUGGUGUGUUUACUGCGACUUCUUGAUCAUUCACGCUGUUACAUUACAUGAUCGUUUUAUAGAAGUUUGCAUUUGAAAUACCUUGAUGCUUUCUCAACUUGAAGGAAAAUAAUGAUGCAUUGAAAGCAGAGUUUGACAAGGAUAGAGCAUCAAUUCAAGCAAAAUAUCUUCAAUCAUGUCAAACUUUGUACGCACAGCGAUACAAUAUCAUAAAUGAUGAAGCAGAUGGAGAGAGUAUUGAUCCUGAAGCAGAUGGAGUUAGUAGCGACUCUGAAGAGGAAGCAUUUGUCAAUGAGAAAGGGGUGCCUAACUUCUGGCUCUAUGCAUUGCAAAACAAUACUAUAUAGACGACGAGAUUAGCUUGGUAAAAAUGCCAGAGCGAGCCAGAAAAAGUUGAUGGCUUUGACCACUAAUGUGAUGAGAGAUGAUAGUGAUAAGGGCCUUGGAUUACAAGUUAUGAAAUAUUUGGCUGCCAAAUAUGAAGAGCUAGGGUGUGAAGUGAAAUGGAUGGGCAAGCCUGAUAAGGUGAUCUAGUCACAUUGGUCUGGUUACCGCUGUUAACUUCACUUCAUGUGAACCUUUAGCUUAAUACAUAUUUCUCUUGCACUUGACUGCCAAGAUGAAUUUUGAGCAAGGCUACUUUUUGCUUUGAAGCAAAGUUUGGUGUAGAAAUUUUGUAGAUUGUUGCUCAUAUGUUUCUAGGCUAUCAUUUAUAGGUUUUGGGGUUUUCUUCUGUGAC